CAGAGUGAGCUGGUGUGUGCACAUGCCGGUGCAGAGAGUGCGGGAUGGGUGUGCGUGAUGACUGCCGAAUGCUCCCUCCCACCGGCUGCACUGGGGGAUUUGCUCGAGUCUCUGAAAGCCUUUCUGGGAGAAGUGAGCUUGAAGAAGGGAUUUGAGAGAUGAGAGGGG